UCCUGUGGACCCUGGGAUGACAGCUGAUCUACUGAGCUUCCUGCUGUUGCUGAUCUUCUCCCUGCUGAGGCUGAUGAGAGAGGACAGAAGCGACUUCGUCUGUACAAAGUGCAAGCUGGUCUCCAUAUUAGAAGAGACGGUUAAAGGACAAGAGACCCAAGUAUCAAUCCUGCGUUGCCACAGAGAGGAUGAAGACUUUCUGGAUAGAAGUCAGCAUUUGGUACUGCAGGCACAGCAUGCUGAAGAAUCAGCAUGUGACCUCAAGAAGAAGAAAGAGGAGAACCAUGUACCCCCAAUGCAGACAGAGGCUGUGUCCCACAUUCUCAUGGAUAUGGCACCAGAUUCCUUUGAUGACCAGUACCAGGGUUGCCGUGAGCAGGUAAUGGAAGAACUGAACCGAGGAGACUAUUUCCAAAAGGAAUUGGGUAAUAAUAAGAACUAUUCCAGCAUCUGGGAGAAAGCAAAGCUGGUCUGGUCAAAAAAGCCAAUGGCUCUGCUAAGGGAGAUGCAGGAGAAUCAUGCCGUAGCCCUCCUGGCUUACACCAUGAACACCUCGCUGCACUCUGAUUUGAACUGGGCUGUGUCCAGAGCUGGGACAUCCCCAGAGCACUACAGACACAACUUCCCCUUCAAAUACCUCCACUUCUACCUGACUACAGCCAUUCAACUGGUGAGGAGAUGGCAGAGUGGCACCACAAGAAAAAAGUGCUACCAGGUGCACCGGGGGGUAAAAGGCCUGUAUUUUGAGGCUGAGUUGGGCACCAAAGUGCGGUUUGGCCGCUUCACCUCCACUUCACUCCUCCGGAAGGAAGCCCGGAGAUUUGGGAAUGAAACAAUAUUCACUCUGAAGACUUGCGUAGGGGCAGUUGUGCAACGCUUCUCCCACUACUUUUCUGAGAGGGAGGUCCUCAUUCCACCCUAUGAGAUAUUCCAGGUCAGAAACUUCAGUCGAACACCAAGUGGUAACCGGCUAUAUCUGCUCUCUGUGGGAAAUUACAGUCAAUACAACUGCCAGCUCCUGAAAGGCAAUGACUCUUUCCCUGGUCACAGAAGGAUUCAUGUGCUGCAUAGAAAGGAAUGAGUGACGGGAGCGAGGGAUUUACAGCUAACCAGCCACAGAGGUUACUGAUGCUGCAAGAGUACUGAUCAGGAGCUGAAGGUUCUCCUUAAUGCUAAGGUUUUCCUUCACGGUAAUGACGGGGAAGCUGGUGCCAAGGUGCUGAUUGAGGAGUCGAAAUAUUGUAUUGGUGGAAGAGACAUAUAUGUAUACGAAAUCAUACAGAGUCUGGCUGGCUGCGAGCACCCUUUGUUUAUCUCUCUCUGCACCAAAGAUGGACAACAUUUCCAGAAAAGAGAUUUGACACUGAAAAACAAAUCAAAAGACACAGGUGAGGAAUCUAAGUGGUACAGUACCUGUAUCCUGAGCUAUAAAUCUCCAGUAAUAAUACCAUACAGGGUUUUUUUCAAACCAGAACUAUAGUUCAACAGCUCCUAAAUAGUGUAUCCUCCAUUGGCCUCUACAGUUCAUGUUAUUUUCUAGGUCAAAUGUAGAACUGAUGUAAGUAGGUGCAGCUUCACUGAUUUUGAUGCUUACACUUGGAAUGAAUCUGACCCUUUAAGUGUAAGCAGAAAAGUGGAAUUAAGAGUAGGAAUAAGAACAUUCCUCUUGAGGAAAGACAGCUUAGCUAUUUAUUGUUAGAUUUACUAUAAGUCUUUGGAAACUAAUAUACCUGUCUUCAUCCUUACUAGCUGUACUUGGUUUGGCUAAAUCUAAUAUUUUUUUCCCAUAUGUAUAUACAGUGUGCCUCACAAAAUUAGAGCAUGGUCCUCUGUGGAGGAAGCAGAAGGGUACUUGGUCCAUAAGAGCCAUUCUUCAGUUACAGACCAGAAUGACUCAGGACUGAGAGUCACGCACACUAUUUCUUCCUUAUUCUAGAGCAGUGAGCAUCUUCUCAGCAUGCACGUGUUUCUGAAUGCUGUAAUCCUGAUAUCCGACUAAGGUGAUAUAGACAUCGUUUAGCUAGCAUUUCACAGCUCUUGGUAGGUGGAGGCACAAGCAAACUCACUGAUUGGGCUUUCAUUUUAUCAUUCUUUUGACUGCUAGGGAGAAACUCUGCCCUACUUCUUGCAUGGGGUAGUGAAAAGUAAGAGUUUCUCUGCCUCUGUUUGUCAUAAACAGAUAGCUAAGGGUUAAUGUUCUUUUACCUGUAAAGGGGUAACAAUAGUAACCUGAAACACCUGACCAGAGGACCAAUCAGGAAACAAGACUUUUUCAAAUCUGGGUGGAGGGAAGUUUUGGGUGUGAGUCCUUUGUUCUUGGUCUGUUCUUUUCGGCUCUGAGAGUGAUCUUUCUAUCUCCUGGCUUUCUAAUCUUUUGUUUCCAAGUUGUAAGUACAAGGAUAGUAAGACAAUAGGUUUAUAUUGUUUUCUUUUGUAUUUACACGUGUGUAGUUGCUGGAAUCUUUUAAAUUGUAUUCUUUUUGGAUAAGGCUGUUUAUUCAUUUUUUUCCUUUAAGCAAUUGACCCUGUAUAUUGUCACCUUGAUACAGAGACCCUUUUAUGUCCUUUUUCAUUCUUUUUAUAUAAAGCUUUCUUUUUAAGA